CACCUACUGACUGACUGUACCAGCUGGAAAUGGGAUCUAGCACCUACUGACUGACUGUACCAGCAGGACAUGGGAUCUAGCACCUACUGACUGACUGUACCAGCUGGACAUGGGAUAUAGCACCUACUGACUGACUGUACCAGCUCAAUGUAGGAUAUAGAACCUACUGACUGACUGACUGGACCAGCUGGAUGUGGGAUCUAGCACCUACUGACUGACUGUACCAGCUGGACAGGGGAUCUAGCACCUACUGACUGACUGUACCAGCUGGAUGAGGGAUAUAGCACCUACUGACUGACUGUACCAGCUGGACAUGGGAUCUAGCACCUACUGACUGACUGUACCAGCUGGAUGAGGGAUAUAGCACCUACUGACUGACUGUACAAGCUGAGGAUGGGAUCUUGCCCUAACUCUGACUGACUGUACCAGCUGAGGAUGGGAUCUAUCACAUACUGACUGACUGUACCAGCUGAUUAAAUCACUGACUGACUGCACCAGCUGAUUACAUCACUGACUGACUGUACCAGCUGGCAAGGCGAUGGGAUCUAACACCUACUAACUGUCUGACUGACUGACUUUCUGACCGACUGUCUGACUGAUUAGCUGGCUGACUGGCUGGCUGAUUGGCUGACUGGCUGGCUGAUUGGCUGACUGACUGAGUCUCUGACUGACUGGCUGACUGACUGUCCUUCCAUUGCCUUCUCUCCCCGGGGAUUCCAGACGGGAAAACAAAGCCAGAGAACUUGAACCAACUGUAAUGUAACUAGUUAAAGCAGGCAACACACUUGAGUCUGUCUGUCUGUCUGUCUGUCUGUCUGUCUGUCUGUCUGUCUGUCUGUCUGUCUGUCUGUCUGUCUGUCUGUCUGUCUGUCUGUCUGUCUGUCUGUCUGUCUGUCUGUCUGUCUGUCUGUCUGUCUGUCUGUAUAACAAGUCAUGAUUAUUCAAUACUACCAUAAUUAUAUUAAUAUAUUGAUCUGUUAUAGUCAUGAUUAUUCUAUACUACCAUAAUGAUAUUAUUAUAUUGAUCUGUUAUAGUCAUGAUUAUUCAAUACUACCAUAAUUAAAUUAUUAUAUUGAUCUGUUAUAGUCAUGAUUAUUCAAUACUACUAUAAUUAAAUUAUUAUAUUGAUCUGUUAUAUUCAUGAUUAUUCAAUACUACCAUAAUUAAAUUAUUAUAUAGAUCUGUUAUAGUCAUGAUUAUUCAAUACUACCAUAAUUAUAUUAUUCUAUUGAUAUUGUUGGACUGUACAGUACAGUGAGAGACUAUUGUUUGUGGAUACUGUACUUUAUAAAGACGAAGCUGAGAACACUGCUGCUACCUGACGGUGACUGUAACAUUAGGUCUGUACGGUGCCCAUAUUAGGACACUGUCAGUCUCAGCAGGCGUUAUUAGGUCCUGGUAAGACUGAGGAUGUCCUAAUACAGACACCAUAGGUGUGUUAUUUAAUGAUGGUCUGCAUUCCAAAUGGCACCUUGUUCCCUUUGUAGCUGUACUAUUGUUGACCAAGGCCUAUGGUGUUGACCAGGGAUUAUGGUGUUGACCAGGAAUUAUGGUGUUGACCAGGGCCUAUGGUGUUGACCAGGGAUUAUGGUGUAGACCAGGGCCUAUGGUGUUGACCAGGGCCUAUGGUGUUGACCAGGGAUUAUGGUGUUGAACAGGGCCCUAUGGUGUUGACCAGGAUUUAUGGUGUUGACCAGGUCUUAUGGCUGCUGGUGUUGACCAGGUCUUAUGGCUGCUGGUAUUGACCAGGUCUUGUGGCUGCUGGUGUUGACCAGGUCCUAUGGCUGCUGGUAUUGACCAGGUCUUAUGGCUGCUGGUAUUGACCAGGUCCUAUGGCUGCUGGUGUUGACCAGGUCCUAUGGCUGCUGGUGAACAUAGUGCACUAUAGGGGGAACAAGCUGCCAUUUGGAACACAGCCUGGUCUUCCUCUUGAAGACCUUUCUAGCUGUGUUGAUUCGUUCUGUUGUUUGUGCACAGAAAGGGAAUUAAAUACAACAAGGGCACGUUUUUGUUAUUUUUCAACACAAUAUAUUUUGCACUGAGACACAAAAAUGUUAUAAUAGAUGCGUGUAUAAAGCCUCACCGGUGCCACAUUGUCCAAAUGUGUAAAAUAUUGUUGUACUGUGGAAUGUUAAUAGUCUUUUGGAUUGCAAUGUAUCGCCUUUACACACAGUCUGCUGGUUGUCAACACUACAGGCCAUAAAGCCUAAAGAGGGGCAGCUGACUGCCAUAGAAUUACAGGCCAUAAAGCCUAAAGAGGGGCAGCUGACUGCCAUAGAAUUACAGGCCAUAAAGCCUAAAGAGGGGAAGCUGACUGCCAUAGAUCUGUAGUAAGGCCAUAGAGGGGAAGCUGACUGACAUAGAUCUGUAGUAAGUUCAUAGAGGGGAAGCUGCCUGCCAUAGAAUUACAGGCCAUAAAGCCUAAAGAGGGGAAGCUGACUGACAUAGAUCUGUGGUAAGGCCAUAGAAGUGAAGCUGACUGACAUAGAUCUGUGGUAAGGCCAUAGAGGGGAAGCUGCCUGACAUAGAUCUGUAGUAAGGCCAUAGAGUAGAGGGGAAGCUGCUUGCCAUAGAUCUGUAGUAAGGCCAUAGAGGGGAAGCUGACUGCCAUAGAUCUGUAGUAAGGCCAUAGAGGGGAAGCUGCCUGACAUAGAUCUGUAGUAAGGCCAUAGAGGGGAAGCUGACUGCCAUAGAUCUGUAGUAAGGCCAUAGAGGGGAAGCUGCUUGACAUAGAUCUGUAGUAAGGCCAUAGAGGGGAAGCUGCCUGACAUAGAUCUGUAGUAAGGCCAUAGAGGGGAAGCUGCCUGCCAUAGAUCUGUAGUAAGGCCAUAGAGGGGAAGCUGCCUGCCAUAGAUCUGUGGUAAGGCCAUAGAUGGGCGGCUGAUUGUAUAAAACUACAGUACGGCCAUAGAGCUAUAGGCCACAUACAGAGAACAGACAGUACAGGCCAUAAUAUACAGAAGAGCAAUUGAUUGUUUGUUGCUACGUGAAUGCCGUAGAGGUAUGGUAUGGCCGUAUAAAGGGGCAGAUGAAUGCUUGUAGCUACGUGAAUGCCGUAGAGCUAUGGUAUGGCCGUAUAAAGGAGCAGCUGAAUGCUUGUAGCUACGUGAAUGCCGUAGAGCUAUGGUAUGGCCGUAUAAAGGAGCAGCUGAAUGCUUGUAAAUGUAGCUACAGUAUAGCCAUGAAUAUUGCUACAGUUAGAGUUUAGGCCAUAGAGUUACAGUAAUGCUAGAUAUGUUCUGUCCAUUAGAGGCCAAAAGGUUUACUCCAGAGAUAGAGUAUUGACCAUACUUACAGAGAGAGGCAGCUGAAAGCUACAGAAGGCCAAAAGGUUUACUCCAGAGAUAGAGUAUUGACCAUACUUACAGAGAGAGGCAGCUGAAAGCUACAGAAGGCCAAAAGGUUUACUCCAGAGAUAGAGUAUUGACCAUACUUACAGACAGAGGCAGCUGAAAGCUACAGAAGGUCAAAAGGUUUACUCCAGAGACAUCACAAUAAGACCUCAAACCUCCUGUUGUUACAGUCAGGACCUGUUCUACACUGGAACAGAGAAUUCACUAUAAAUAAAUGUUUCUUUUUUUUCUGUA